GUUGAUUCAUCUUGAUGGGCAAUGAAUCCACCACCUUCAGUGCGAAUACACAACGGCUGCCCUCCAGUGGAAAUUUCAAAGCAGCAAGCACGGAGGCCGUGGAUGGGGACUGCGGAUAGUUGAUGCUAGCUGUAGUGAAUUAUUUAGAAUGAACUUCAUGAGGGAAUAAAUAUACUGUGCAGCAGCAGUCAGAACGGCCAAGUCCUUAAACAAAUGUCUACUAGAUGAUCAUGAGUGAGCGCCACAUAUUAUUCUUACAGCACGUUUUUGAGCAAUAAAGACUUUUGUUUCUUAAAGGAACAAACAAUGGCUCUGCAAUGCGGUCAAACAUAAGAAGAAUGUUUUGAGGAUCACUGAAUGAUAAGGAACUUGAUUGUGACUGCGAGAGGCUGAGCCGACCUCUAGCGGUGUUUAGUGAUAAUGUCUGCGAC